CCUACGGGGGGCUGCAGUGGGGAAUUUUGGACAAUGGGGGCAACCCUGAUCCAGCCAUGCCGCGUGAGUGAAGAAGGCCUUCGGGUUGUAAAGCUCUUUCGGCCGGGAAGAAAUCGCAUAGGUUAAUACCCUGUGUGGAUGACGGUACCGGAAUAAGAAGCACCGGCUAACUACGUGCCAGCAGCCGCGGUAAUACGUAGGGUGCGAGCGUUAAUCGGAAUUACUGGGGGGAAAGCGUGCGACAGAGGUUAAAUCCCCGGGCUCAACCUGGGAACUGCCUUUGUGACUGCGAGGCUAGAGUACGGCAGAGGGGGGUGGAAUUCCACGUGUAGCAGUGAAAUGCGUAGAGAUGUGGAGGAACACCGAUGGCGAAGGCAGCCCCCUGGGCCGAUACUGACGCUCAUGCACGAAAGCGUGGGUAGCAAACAGGAUUAGAUACCCGAGUAGUC
rnacentral:rRNA from 1 species